rnacentral:rRNA from 4 species
ACGAACGCUGGCGGCGUGCUUAACACAUGCAAGUCGAACGAUGAAGCCCUUCGGGGUGGAUUAGUGGCGAACGGGUGAGUAACACGUGGGCAAUCUGCCCUUCACUCUGGGACAAGCCCUGGAAACGGGGUCUAAUACCGGAUACCACUCCUGCCUGCAUGGGUAGGGGUUGAAAGCUCCGGCGGUGAAGGAUGAGCCCGCGGCCUAUCAGCUUGUUGGUGGGGUAAUGGCCCACCAAGGCGACGACGGGUAGCCG